rnacentral:rRNA from 1 species
CAGGGAAUCUUGCGCAAUGGGCGAAAGCCUGACGCAGCGACGCCGCGUGAGGGAAGAAGGCCUGCGGGUUGUAAACCUCUUUUCGGGGGGAAGAAGUUCUGACGGUACCCUCGGAAUAAGCCUCGGCUAACUACGUGCCAGCAGCCGCGGUAAUACGUAGGAGGCGAGCGUUGUCCGGAUUCACUGGGCGUAAAGGGAGCGCAGGCGGCCGGGUCCGUCGGCGGUGCAAGCUCCAGGCUCAACUUGGAGAGGUCCGCCGAUACCACUCGGCUUGAGGGCGGUAGAGGAGCACGGAAUUCCUGGUGUAGUGGUGAAAUGCGUAGAUAUCAGGAGGAACACCUGAGGCGAAAGCGGUGCUCUGGGCCGGCCCUGACGUUCAGGCUCGAAAGCGUGGGGAGCAAACCGGAUUAGAUACCCCCGUAGUCC